rnacentral:rRNA from 1 species
UGGGGAAUAUUGGACAAUGGGCGAAAGCCUGAUCCAGCCAUGCCGCGUGUGUGAAGAAGGUCUUCGGAUUGUAAAGCACUUUAAGUUGGGAGGAAGGGCAUUAACCUAAUACGUUAGUGUUUUGACGUUACCGACAGAAUAAGCACCGGCUAACUCUGUGCCAGCAGCCGCGGUAAUACAGAGGGUGCAAGCGUUAAUCGGAAUUACUGGGCGUAAAGCGCGCGUAGGUGGUUUGUUAAGUUGGAUGUGAAAUCCCCGGGCUCAACCUGGGGACUGCAUUCAAAACUGACUGACUAGAGUAUGGUAGAGGGUGGUGGAAUUUCCUGUGUAGCGGUGAAAUGCGUAGAUAUAGGAAGGAACACCAGUGGCGAAGGCGACCACCUGGACUAAUACUGACACUGAGGUGCGAAAGCGUGGGGAGCAAACA